rnacentral:rRNA from 1 species
GACGAACGCUGGCGGCGUGCUUAACACAUGCAAGUCGAACGGAAAGGCCCUGCUUUUGUGGGGUGCUCGAGUGGCGAACGGGUGAGUAACACGUGAGUAACCUGCCCUUGACUUUGGGAUAACUUCAGGAAACUGGGGCUAAUACCGGAUAGGAGCUCCUGCUGCAUGGUGGGGGUUGGAAAGUUUCGGCGGUUGGGGAUGGACUCGCGGCUUAUCAGCUUGUUGGUGGGGUAGUGGCUUACCAAGGCUUUGACGGGUAGCCGGCCUGAGAGGGUGACCGGCAACAUUGGGACUGAGGUACGGCCCAGACUCCUACGGGAGGCAGCAGUGGGGAAUCUUGCACAAUGGGCGGAAGCCUGAUGCAGCAACGCCGCGUGCGGGAUGACGGCCUUCGGGUUGUAAACCGCUUUCGCAUGUGACGAAGCGUGAGUGACGGUAAUGGGUAAAGAAGCACCGGCUAACUACGUG